rnacentral:lncRNA from 1 species
UUUUUUUUUUUUUCCUUGUAGCUUUUAAGAUUCUCUCCAUGUCUUUAACUUCUGACACUUAAAUUAUAACGUGACUUGGUGUUGUCUCUCUCAGUACUUCUUAUAUGGAACUCUCUGGGUUUCUUAGAUCUGAGUAUUUGUUUCCUUCCCCAGGUUAGGAAAGUUCUCAGUCAUUAUUACUUCAAAUAAGUUUUUACCCUGUUUCCUUCUGGGAUCCCCAUAAUUGCAAAUGUUGGUUUGCUUGAGGUUGUUCCUUAAGCUGUCUUCACUGAUUUUUUCAUUCUUUUUUCUUUAUGAUGCUCUGAUUGGGUGACUUCCACUUUGCUCUCUUCAAAUUCACUGAUCCUUUCUUCUGCUUCAUCUAAUCUGCUAUUGAAGCCCUUUACUGUAUUUUUCAUUUCAGUUAUUGUAUUCUUCAGCUGUCUAACUUUUGUUUGGUACUUUCUUGUAUUUUCUACCUCUUUGUUGUAAUUCUUACCUUGUUCAUCUGUUCUUUUCCUGAGCUCAGAGAGCACUGCUGUGACCAUUAUUUUGAAAUCUCUAUCAUGUAAAUCACUUAUCUCCAUUUCAUUAAGGCCUUUUCUGACAUUUUUUUUUUUUUUUGGUUUUUUUUUUUUUUUUUUGCCUUUUCUAGGGCCGCUGUCAUGGCAUAUGGAGGUCCACACAGUGCAAGGCGAUCCCAAGAAUGGCCACCAGUGUCUAUGUCCCCAGGAUAAGUCACCACCACCCCUUACCUCCUGCAUCUUGGGGAGACUCUCCAAGACCAUCAGAUAUAAGGAAAUUUUUUUAAAAGAUUUAUAGCAAUUUGGUAAAUUAUUCCUCUUUAAGCAGAAUCGAAACAUUCACCUUUUUCUCCCGACCUGAUCUAUCUGGAAUUCAGAAACUCUCAGAAAUAAAAUCUCUACUCCCAGAGGAAGAUAUCAAGUUAGAUGUCAACCUCCACACAUGUCCACAAUUCUCAAAGGCUUAGUGGGAUUUUCUGGGUUAGGAAAGGAAGUAGGGACUCCUUUGUUCAAGACAAGGAAACUUCUGUGGUGACUGCUGAGGUGCCAACUAACUUUGCUAUGAUCAAAGCUGAACUCCUCUCUCUGCCUAUUUCUGAAAAAGGCUUGAGGCUGAGCUGCUAUAGAUUCUCUGGAUUUCUUAGGACAUGGACUGACCUGCACUCUCCCAUCCUGCCAGACCUCUUGUACAAACACCUCUACUUUAAGAGUUCUUCUGUAUCAUCCAUAAGAUAAACAAACAAUAUCCCACUCCCCUAAUACCAAAUAAGGAGAAAAAUAAAAUUCAUAUGGAAAUGCAAAGGAUUCAGAAUAGUCAAAAGAAAUUUGAAAAAGCACAAAGUUGAAAGACAAUAUUACCUGAUUUCAAGAAACACCAUAAAAUUAUACUAAAACUAAAAAAAAGACUUUAAUGGAGUUCCCACUGUGGCACAGCAGAAACAAAUCUUGACUAGUAUCCAUGAGGAUGCAGGUUCAAUCCCUGGCCUCGCUCAGUGGGUUAAGGAUCUUGCAUUGCUGUGAGAUGUGGUGUACAUCACAGACUCAAAUCUUGUGUUGCUGUGGUGGUGGUGUAGGCCAGCAGCCACAGCUCCAAUUGGACCCCUAGCCUGGGAACUUCCAUAUGUCAUGGGCAUGGCCCUAAAGAGCAAACAAAAAAAGACAAAAAAAAAAAAAAAAAAAAAAAAAAAAAAACUUUAUUUGCAAAAAUACAGAUGAAAUAAGUACAGAAAAAGUAACACAUAUGUGAUCAACUGAUUUUUAAGAAAGAUGCAAAGGCAAUUUAGUGGAGAAAGGACAGUUCUUUCAACAAAUGUUGUAAAGCAAUUGGAUGUCCUUUAAAAAAACAAAAAACAAAAACAAAAACCUGACCCUAAACCUCACAUAGUAUACCAGAAUUAACUCAAAGUAGAUUAUAAACCUAAAACUGAAAAACCUCCAUUAGGAAGCACAGGAGAGUUUUCUCUUGGUUAGACGAAGACUUCUCAUAUACAAUCAAAAACAUGUUUAAUAAAAGGAAAAAGUAAUAUAUUAGACCUUAUCAACAUUAGAAUUUCCUACCAUAGGAAAAAUUGUUAAGAGACUGAAAAACCAAGCCAGAGGCUAGAAUGCUAUAUUGGCAAAUCUCAUCUCUAAUUAGACUUGAAUCUAGAAUUUAAGAAUUCUAGAAACUCAAAAAAUACAUCAGAAAAAAAUUUUAGUAGGCAAAAUAUUUGAGAGACACUUAACCCAAGAAAAGAGAAGGAUGGUGGUAAGCAUGUAUAAAAAUUCUAAACACUAGCCAUUAGGGAAAUACAAAACAGAGUCACAAAGGAACACCACUACACACCAAAGGAAAUGGCUACAACUAAAAAGACUGCCCAUACCAAGUGCUGGUAAGAAUAUGGAACAUUAAAAUUCUCAGACACUGCUAGUGGUAAUGUAAAAUGGUAUAACCACCUUAUCAGUGCAUAAAAAGAUAUACAUACACUUACCCUUUGAUUCAAUGUAUUUAUUAUGUUUUUUACUUCCUGUAUGUUUUAAUGUUUUGCUAUCUUAAAGAGCUUAUUGUCCAGGGAAGAGACCACCCCUCCCUGGGCUGUCCCAUUCUUGAGACAGCAAAGGGUUUAGCCAAAAGUACCUCUCUACUAUAAAACCAACCAGUUCAAAUCUAUAGCGCUAGCCACCAAUUAACUCACAUACCAAGCCGGUAUUUCCCCUGCCCUAAAUCAGAAGGCCAGGUACCAGACCAAUCUCAUAGAUCAAGACCUGCUGUAAUUAUUCAAGCUGGCCAGUCCUAAACUCUUUACUCUACCCUGCCUGGCCUCUCCCAUGGAAACCUCAAUAAAGGCCGUGGCCUCUGCUUUCCCCUCACUCUUUUCUGCCUCCUGACCAAUACUGGUGCUCUCUCUCCACAUGGCCCUAUGUUCUCUUUUCCUUACAAAAUGUAAUAAAUUUUUCUUUCAAUGUUAAUAACCUGUGUUGACACUCAGUCACUGCAUAAAUUAAAAUGCUGUGGGCACAAAGGAGACACUCAAGCUUUUUACUCUUAAGUCUUAGACGCUGAAUAAAAAAAAAGGAAGCAAAGAGGAGUUCCCACUAUGGCCCAGCGGGAUCAGCAGCAUCUCUGGAGCACUAGGAUGCAGGUUCAAUUCCCAGCCCUACACAGUGGGUUAAGGAUCUGUCAUUGCCACAACUGCAGUAUAGGUCUCCACUGCAGCUCGGAUCUGAUCCCUAGCCCAG